rnacentral:tRNA from 1 species
CAUUAGAUAGCUUAAAGCAAGCAAUGGUCUCUUAUACCAUCAUAUAGUAAACUAGCAACUACUUCUAAUGA